GACGAACGCUGGCGGCGUGCUUAACACAUGCAAGUCGAGCGGAAAGGCCCUUUCGGGGGUACUCGAGCGGCGAACGGGUGAGUAACACGUGAGUAAUCUGCCCUUGGCUUUGGGAUAACCACCGGAAACGGUGGCUAAUACCGGAUAUGACGCGCCCCGGCAUCGGGGUGUGUGGAAAGUUUUUUCGGCCAGGGAUGUGCUCGCGGCCUAUCAGCUUAUUGGUGGGGUAAUGGCCUACCAAGGCUUCGACGGGUAGCCGGCCUGAGAGGGUGACCGGCCACACUGGGACUGGGACACGGCCCAGACUCCUACGGGAGGCAGCAGUGGGGAAUAUUGGACAAUGGGCGGAAGCCUGAUCCAGCAACGCCGCGUGAGGGAUGACGGCCUUCGGGUUGUAAACCUCUUUCAGUACCGACGAAGCGCCGAUGAUGGUGGUGACGGUAGGUACAGAAGAAGCACCGGCCAACUACGUGCCAGCCGCCGCAGUAA
rnacentral:rRNA from 1 species